rnacentral:rRNA from 1 species
AGUGAACGCUGGCGGCAGGCCUAACACAUGCAAGUCGAACGGAAGCACAGUAAGAGUUUGCUCUUAAGGGUGGCGGGGGGCGGACGGGUGAGAAAUAGAUAGGAUACCUCUUAUACGUGGGGGACAACGGAGGGAAAGUUAUGCUAAUACAUAAUAUGACGAACGGGUGAAAUCAGGGGUUAAUCGCACCUUUGGCGACUGUAAGAGCCGGUGCCGGAUUAGCUAGUUGGCGGGGUAAAGGCACACCAAGGCGACGCUACGUAGCUGAUCUGAGAGGAUGAUCAGCCACACUGGAACUGAGACACGGUCCAGACUCCUACGGGAGGCAGCAGUAGGGAAUAUUGCGCAAUGGGCGCAAGCCUGAUCGAGCCACACCGCGUGAGUGAUGAAGGCCUUCGGAUUGUAAAGCCCUGUUGUUAGGAAAGAAAAAAAGCAUGUUAAUACCCCGCUGUUCUGACGGUACCCAAAGAAUAAGCACCGGCUAACUUCGUG